GACGAACGCUGGCGGCGUGCUUAACACAUGCAAGUCGAGCGGUAAGGCCCUUUCGGGGGUACACGAGCGGCGAACGGGUGAGUAACACGUGGGUGACCUGCCCUCAUCUCUGGGAUAAGCCUGGGAAACUGGGUCUAAUACUGGAUAUGACUCCACGGUGCAUGUCGUGGGGUGGAAAGCCUUGUGCGGCUGAGGAUGGGCCCGCGGCCUAUCAGCUUGUUGGUGGGGGAUGGCCUACCAAGGCGACGACGGGUAGCCGGCCUGAGAGGGCGACCGGCCACACUGGGACUGAGACACGGCCCAGACUCCUACGGGAGGCAGCAGUGGGGAAUCUUGCGCAAUGGGCGAAAGCCUGACGCAGCGACGCCGCGUGAGGGAUGACGGCCUGGUGUAAC
rnacentral:rRNA from 1 species